GCCAGGUGUGGUGGCUCACGCCUGUAAUCCCAGCACUUUGGGAGGCCGAGACGGGUGGAUCACCUGAGGUCAGGAGUUCGAGACCAGCCUGGCCAACAUGGUGAAACCCCGUCUCUA
rnacentral:SRP_RNA from 1 species